UACGUAGGGGGGCAAGCGUUGUCCGGAUUUAUUGGGCGUAAAGAGCUCGUAGGCGGUUUGGUAAGUCUGGUGUGAAAUCUCCACGCUCAACGUGGAGGGGCCACCCGAUACUGCCAUGACUGGAGUCCGGUAGAGGAGUGUGGAAUUCCCGGUGUAGCGGUGAAAUGCGCAGAUAUCGGGAGGAACACCCGUAGCGAAGGCGGCACUCUGGGCCGGUACUGACGCUGAGGAGCGAAAGCGUGGGAGCAAACAGG
rnacentral:rRNA from 1 species